UUACACAGGUGCUGGGUAAGAUGUUCUUCCAUAUGCUCAAGGCCACGGGUCAAGAUGUACUAGGCUGUCAGCAUUGUUGACUGUAAAUAUGAAGAUGCAUGAUGGGCACCUGGUACCUGGAUUGGAGUUCUCACUCUGUUCAUGUAGCAGAUGAAAAAAUCAAAGCACAGAGAGGCUAAGUGACUUGCCCAAGGCCACACAGCCAGGAAGCAAUCAGCUGGGAUUUGAACCCACACAGCCCGACUCCCGAGCCCACGAUGAUCACCCGUGUGUUCUACUGCCUCACCCCUGAGUGAACCUCACUGACCAUGAGAGAUGGGGUAGGAAGAGGGCUCACACCUGCUGGAUAUCCUCACCCACCUGGACAGGCAGGAAACCGAGGCACAGUCUAGUGUUGUGUGAGCAGGAAUGGAAGAAACACGCGACACUGCAGGAAGUCACAGAGGGUGGAGAAAUCAAAGGAAACUUCCCGGAGGAGACGAGAUCGUGCCACUGCACUCCAGCCUGGGCAACAGAGCAAGACUCUAUCUCCAAAAAAAAAAAAAAAAAGAAGAAGAAGAAGAAGAGGAUACACAGACACGGAGGGAAGAGGCCACAUGACACAGAGGCAGAGAAAGAAGGGAGGCGUCUACCAGCCAAGAAAUGCCAGGAGGCACCAGGUGUUGGAAGAGGAAAAGACUGUGACCAGCUUCACAAAAGGCAGCAAAGGACUAUCAGAGAAAGAGAACUCCGAGUGAGGGGUCUGGCCUAGGCCCGGGAUCGGACCAGGCUCCCUCAGGACCCCAUCCUAUCCUGCCCGGACCGUGAAUUCAUCUCCUUGAAGCCAUAACGUCCGAGCUGCUGGUGCAGGGCAGCCCUGGCCCUAGGCUUCCUACCCCUGGAAGCGAGAGGAUGAGAGGAGGCCGGCCCAGCUCCUUCUUUCAGGGUGGGGGGCAUUCAGCCUCCACUGUGUCUGUCUUUUCUUCCCUGGGGCUCCCCCUCGAGGCGAGGGGCCAGGCAUGUCUGGGGGACCCCUGGCCCCAAAACCCUCUGUCUGCCUCUGUCUCUUUGCUGUUUGUCCAAGACUCAGUGUCCCGACCCUUGUUCUCGCCGUGAAUGUCAAUGGGCCAAUCCUCUCUGUCCUUUCAGACACACACACACCUGUGUCCACCCCUUCUGUUCGCCACACCCUGCGCCUGGCCGGUCCCCCGACUGCUGCUGCUAUCAACGCCAGAAUAAACACACUCCACGGGUCUC